AGAGUUUUGAUCCUGGCUCAGAGUGAACGCUGGCGGUAGGCCUAACACAUGCAAGUCGAACGGCAGCACAGUAAGAGCUUGCUCUUAUGGGUGGCGAGUGGCGGACGGGUGAGGAAUACAUCGGAAUCUACUUUUUCGUGGGGGAUAACGUAGGGAAACUUACGCUAAUACCGCAUACGACCUACGGGUGAAAGCAGGGGAUCUUCGGACCUUGCGCGAUUGAAUGANCCGAUGUCGGAUUAGCUAGUUGGCGGGGUAAAGGCCCACCAAGGCGACGAUCCGUAGCUGGUCUGAGAGGAUGAUCAGCCACACUGGAACUGAGACACGGUCCAGACUCCUACGGGAGGCAGCAGUGGGGAAUAUUGGACAAUGGGCGCAAGCCUGAUCCANCCAUACCGCGUGGGUGAAGAAGGCCUUCGGGUUGUAAAGCCCUUUUGUUGGGAAAGAAAUCCANCUGGUUAAUACCCGGUUGAGAAUGACGGUACCUGCAGAAAAAGCACCGGCUAA
rnacentral:rRNA from 1 species